CUUGGUCAUUUAGAGGAAGUAAAAGUCGUAACAAGGUUUCCGUAGGUGAACCUGCGGAAGGAUCAUUAAUGAGUUAGGGUCUCCCAGGCCCGACCUCCCAACCCUAUGUUUAUUAAACUUUUUGUUGCUUCGGCGGGCCCGUCCUAAACGACCGCCGGAGGAUUUGUCGCGAGACGUCCUCUGGCCUGCGCCCGUCGAUGGCCUAACUUAUUAAACUCUGAACUAAAUAUGUUUAUGUCUAAGUCUAUGAUUUAAAUAAAGCAAAACUUUCAACAACGGAUCUCUUGGUUCUGGCAUCGAUGAAGAACGCAGCGAAAUGCGAUAAGUAAUGCGAAUUGCAGAAUUCCAGUGAGUCAUCGAAUCUUUGAACGCACAUUGCGCCCUUUAGUAUUCCGAAGGGCAUGCCUGUUCGAGCGUCAUUAUCACCCCUCAAGACUACUUUGUAGUGGUUUUGGUGUUGGACGGUUUGGUUAAGCUCUUGCUUAAACCCCUCCUAAAGACAAUGACGGCGGACUUGUGGUACCCCCGGUACACUGAGCUUCUUAACAGAGCACGUACCGGAUGAAGGGUGCCCGAGCCCCGGUCUACUCCCUUGAAUGGGAAAAUCUUUCUUAAGGUUGACCUCGGAUCAGGUAGGGAUACCCGCUGAACUUAAGCAUAUCAAUAAGCGGAGGAAGAGAAACCAACAGGGAUUCCCCUAGUAGUGGCGAAUGAAGCGGGAAAAGCUCAAGUUUGAAAUCCGGCGGGUGACCUCCGGAGUUGUAAGCUGAAGAGGCAUAGACCGACGCGGUCCGGGCUCAAUUUCCUUGGAACAGGAGGUCAUGGAGGGUGAGAACCCCGUCUGUGGCUCGAGUGCCGUCGUCCUUGUGUCUUGUCCUCGUAGAGUCGGGUUGUUUGGGAAUGCAGCUCAAAAUGGGUGGUAAAUUUCAUCUAAAGCUAAAUAUUGGCGAGAGACCGAUAGCAAACAAGUAGAGUGAUCGAAAGAUGAAAAGUACUUUGAAAAGAGAGUGAAACAGUACGUGAAAUUGUUGAAAGGGAAGCGUUUGGCAUCAGCCCAUGGCGCCCAAAGAUCAUCUGGGCUUCUGUCUGGUGCACUUUUUGGGCGUUGGGCCAGCGUCGACUUUGCCUGCCGGAGAAAGGCCUUGGGGAUGUGUCUCUCUUCGGGGAGCGUUAUAACCCUCGGCGUCAUGCGGUGUGGUGGGGUCGAGGUCCGCGGUUUAUCCUAGGACGCUGGCGUAAUGGUUCCAAGCGACCCGUCUUGAAACACGGACC
rnacentral:rRNA from 1 species